rnacentral:rRNA from 1 species
AGUGAACGCUGGCGGUAGGCCUAACACAUGCAAGUCGAACGGCAGCACAGUAAGAGCUUGCUCUUACGGGUGGCGAGUGGCGGACGGGUGAGGAAUACAUCGGAAUCUACUUUUUCGUGGGGGAUAACGUAGGGAAACUUACGCUAAUACCGCAUACGACCUACGGGUGAAAGCAGGGGAUCUUCGGACCUUGCGCGAUUGAAUGAGCCGAUGUCGGAUUAGCUAGUUGGCGGGGUAAAGGCCCACCAAGGCGACGAUCCGUAGCUGGUCUGAGAGGAUGAUCAGCCACACUGGAACUGAGACACGGUCCAGACUCCUACGGGAGGCAGCAGUGGGGAAUAUUGGACAAUGGGCGCAAGCCUGAUCCAGCCAUACCGCGUGGGUGAAGAAGGCCUUCGGGUUGUAGAGCCCUUUUGUUGGGAAAGAAAAGCAGCAGGUUAAUACCCCGCUGUUCUGACGGUACCCAAAGAAUAAACACCGGCUAACUUCGU